UGAGCCCUCUUCAGAGGGGAGGAACACUGUGCUCCCUGGUCAGGGAAACAUGUCCCGUCGGAAACAGACCACUCCUAACAAAGUUCACUUAUGUUGCUACAGAGCAACUGUUCAGCAGGAACCAUUGAGAGCAGCAAGCAAGACUACAAGAAAAUAAGGGGACCGAGAGAUACAAAGCACUUGUCGAUGGUGAUAUCUUCACCUUGGGAUGGAAAAUCUUGUCUGUCAUAUGAUGAACACCACGAAAUCGUUGGGACUUCUCUGUCUACCUAGCCUGCUGUGUGUCUGGAGGGCCCAGAAAUGCCGUGCAGUGCCCUGACGAGGAUAAUCGGAGAAAACACCGGCUCCAAGAACGGGGUGAGCCAGCAGAAUGAGGAGUCAGGCUGAGACAUAGCAGACACCUUACUGGGACUUCUUCACAGGGACUGCAGUGGUUGGGAGGAGAGGAAUGAAAGGGACAGCAGGUAUGCAGCUUUUUCCGCAGUUGCCUGCAGCUGGGGUCUGAUUUGGCAGGCUACGGGCUGGGGAACUGCCUUUUGGAUUUGCAUAAACACGACUGUGCAUAUAUGACUGGACAAAUUUGAUGGGAGGAUGGUGCCUUCUUCUUCCUUGCAUGGCAACUCCAUCUUCUCUCCCUUCUUGGACUGACUAGGGCGAGUGACAGCUGCCGAUCUCCCCUCCUUGCUUGCUUGGUGUCUCCUCUUUCCAGGAUUACUUUCCAGGUUUGGCAUGGCCCUCAUUCCACCUAGCUCUCACAACAACAUGAUUUGCUGUCCUCACUUAAGACAGAAUCACAAUACUUUGCAAGCAGAGCAACCAGCUAGGAGAUUGUAUGGUUACAAAUCAAAAGUUUUAAAUAGAAGCUGAUAUGUAAGGAAACUCAAAAUAAUACUCAAAAUAAAUGAUAAAAAUUGUGGUAAAAAUGAUCACAAAAGUCUUUCUCUGCAUGGUCGCUAGUCACACAGUUUUAAUUGUAGUCAUUUCCCCUGCAGCACAUAAAUGGCUCUUAAGAAUAUAAUUUUAUUUUGCCAUGUGGUGUGUGAAAAGCUCACCUGAUAAAGUGCUAACAAACAGAGCAGUAAUCAUGGAAUAUACUUAUUGAAAAAUAAAAUGCAGUUAGAUUGUUUGUGUGGAGAUACCUUAAUUGAUUCAAUUUGGUCUUGAUUUUCUCCCAGAGUAUGCAGUAUAAAAGUUUAAAAACUCUAAGCAAUUCAUCUGUUCUUGCAUUCAUCUCUUACUGUGCUGUCAUCCCAUCAGUCAUGGACCACUUGCUGUCUUCGUGCUUGCCAAAAUUUGUUGCAGGUAUUAGCAUGCUCUUCUCUCUCCUUGCUAUCCACAAGCUGCUUUGCUUUUUAUUGCUUGUGCUCUCUGCAACUGAUGCUUAUUUUAGAACUCUGGGGAAGAGCUUUUGUUAGUCAGAUUAAUUCCUGCUUCUGAGCUCUAUUUAUCAUGGUUCCAAUAUCCCACUAAUCCUCUAUUUCCUUCCCUCUCUCUCUAACACACAAGUUCUGUGCUCUUUGGUGUUCCUUGGAUUCUCCUGUCUAUAAUAUUCCCAUUUUGAGGGAAAAGUGUCUUGCAAGAAAUAGCACCCAGCAUUCACAACCGAGCAGAAAUGUUACUUGCAUCAAAUCCCUUGGUUCUGAAGGGCUCCGUGGACUGCCAUUAUUAACCCUUUCAAUUGUGUUGUUUUUCAUUUCAGUAACCACUACAGCAGUGUGGACAACCCAGAAUAGCCAUGGGGCAGGUGGAAUAGAUCCACAGUGGUGGAAAGACUUGCAAAUUUCAGGUCCAGGAACACAGAGAAGACCUACAUGAACAGGGACUUAAAAUUGAUGUACAAGGAGGGAAUAAACUGACUCAUCUCUGAGAGACCGUUCUGUUUAGGAAGGAAGGCAGGAGAAUGAUGUAGUCCCUUUGGAUUUUGUUUUGUGGAUUUUGGGGUGGGAGUUGUUUGUUUCUGUGUUUAUUUUCCAGAGCACCUGGGAGUUAUCCUGCAUUCAUACAGUUCAAGAAGGGAAGGGCUCAGGGCUGAUACCCCAGCAGACCCUAGCAGUCAUGCCUGUCCAUGUUACACAGUACCACAGGGCUGUCCCCUACCUCCACCACUGCUCACUUGGCAUCCCACUCAUUCACAGCACUAUGGAGAAGAGAAUGGAAAACAAAGCAGGGGCAUUUGUGUGAUCUCUCUUGUCCUACAUCUCUAGCUGUUUGUAAACAACUACAGUGACUUGUUUUGGUGUUGUGGUCAGCCUGCAGCGCUUUUUGUAUUUAAUAAAGAAACUUCUGGAGAAGAGUCUGUGAAUUCACUAUUGAGCAUAACAUCCUUUACUUAUGGCAGUGAUCCUAAAGCUGUUGCCUAACUCCUCUUCCAACUGAAUGGAAGUGUACCCAAAGUGGGGUGGAGAUGGGGGUGUCUGUGAGCAUGUAUGUGCAGAAACAUCAAAAGUAUAACCCUGGACCUAUCAAAUAUUAAAGCUGUAAAGCUUCAUCAAAGUAGGACUUAGUCCAUCAGUAGAUGAAUAGGACAUGCUUUCCUAAGUUCUUUUGUGCACUGUUAUUAUAAUACAUAAGAAAUUUUUUAGAAGUGGAAGACAGAAUUUUUCCAUGUUUGCCUUUCCCAGUCCUGUGAUGUUUUUAGAUACAGGCUGGGGAGGAUGCACAGGACGUGGCCUGCUAACAGCACGUGUUUGGUUAAGAGCUUGCAUUGCUGGCUGUAAGCUGGUUGUUCUCUGCACUGUGCUGAGUCAAUGCUCACUGGGCUCUGGGGGUGUUGUACAGAGGCUAAAGGCACACACAGCUGCUCUCAGUUACUGUGACUGAUGCCAGUGUUCCUUACGUGAAGAGUUCCUUCUGUCUCCUUAGAUAAAGAUCUCAGCUCUUAAAUCCUCCAGAUUGUCUGCAUGGUUUGUAUAGCUGAGCAGGAACCUGCCCUGCCUUUGGACUCUAGGCUGCUGCUCAGUGAGAGUGUAAUCUGUGUGAAAGGGAAAAGGUAGAAGAAAACAAACAUGUCAUUGCUUCCACGAGCAGCCUCAGUAGCAUUUGGGAAUUCUGUUUUGGAACUCUGUCAAAGGUAGUAGUACAUUUCCCAUCAUAGUUCUACAUCUGUCCUGUGUUCUGCAGGUGUCCUCAUUUCACUUGUGCUUUCUCUUUCUCUUGCAAUGCUUUUUUGGUCUAUGGACUUUAUCCUGGUGGUUUGUGGGUUUCUGCUUCUUGAAGAGGCACUGGAACUCUGUGGUGUCUGCUGCAUGUACAGUCUGUAUCUCAGUCCCACCAAUGUGAGGUUGUGGUCCAGAUAUAAAAACAGCACUCUAGGUCACAAAAACUAUUCAGUGCUGGAAUGGCUUCUGAAGGGGUGUCACAGCAGUAAUGAUGGUCCCUGCUGCUUUCAAUGACAAGCAAACUUGGUGCUCCUUAGCACCUCUCCUCAGGCACACGGAUUGUGUUCUCAAAUCUUCUCUACAGCACCCUUUCUCACAUUUCUGAAACAAAUUAUAAAAGCCUUCAAAUGCUUUUGGAAACCUACAUGGGGAUAUUGGGAACUAAAACUCUUCUCCCACAGUCUCAGUGAAACUUCUGAAGGUCUUUGAAAUCUUCCAUAAAUUAUGGCUUUUUAAAGCCCUGCCAAAAUUGCAAGGUGAGCCCCAAGGAAGGCAGUGUGAGUGGGAACAUGGAGCAACACUGGCUGGAACAGUUCAGCACUUGGGAACAUACCUGUCCUUGUAACAGGACUGGUGCUCUCUCUCAUGAGUUCAGUUUCUUGGUUAUACUGGUGCCAGUUGUGGCCCUGUACUAAAAGGCAACUUUGUCUUCUGAAAGCUGUGUUUUGAUUUUAUGUGAAAAAUGUACUGCAUUUUCCUUGGCAUUUCCACAUUUGUGCUUUGAAUGGUUCUUGAGCACUUACAAAUCAGUUGAAAAAUACAACCAUAAAGCCACCCUGCUGGCAACUUCAGCACCUUUCCCAAGCCUCCCAGCUCAUCCACUGGAAAAGCUAAAUCAUGACUACACCUGGAACAAUGUCAUUUGUUUGCUUUAAUAUGAAGGUGAAUGGUUGCCUUUUAUUCUCUGGAACCAAAACUUCUUUGAGCAGGGAUUGAUGUAAGUAGUUUUCAUUCAGAGCACAAAUAACUACUGUCUUUCAAGGUAUUUGCCAUUGAGCUGAGGUACUAGUGGCCGCUGCUUUCAACAAAACAGGUUGUUUUGUCCUAAACAUGAAUCUCAGCUCUCUGGUUUCGUUCCCUUAGGUUUUUGUUUAGAGCACAUGAAGUGCCAAUGGGAUUUAUUUUAGUGAGAGCCAUUCCUGGGCAAGGCAAGGUAGUUUUCUAUCCAUCAUAUACACAGGAGAACACCAGCUCCGAGCAUAGACACCUUCUGUAAGGGCAGCUUGUCCUCAUCCCUCCUGGGACAGAAGAAGGUGACAGCAUACCAAGGACAACCCCUAGUUUUCAUAUCGCUGUGGAGGGCAGGUGGGGUACCAGGCCCUUAGGGAGGUGCUAUUUUUGUGCAAAAUGCCUGCUAUAGCUAGGAAUAAGAUUUAAUAAUUUAGAAGAGCUAUAUAGUACUAUCCGUGAUCUGCCGUAGUCCCCAGGGGCUUCCCCUCACCCUGAGCUGUGCUGGAGGAUAUUGGUGGAUAGUUUGGCAGCAGCAAGAGCCACCUGGCUAUUUCUGGCAGAUGUAAGGACUCACAGGUGCUUUGUGCUGGAGUGGCACAC